rnacentral:rRNA from 1 species
UACGGAGGGGGCUAGCGUUGUUCGGAAUUACUGGACGUAAAGCGUACGUAGGCGGCUUUGUAAGUUAGAGGUGAAAGCCCAGAGCUCAACUCUGGAAUUGCCUUUAAGACUGCAUCGCUUGAAUCGUGGAGAGGUUAGUGGAAUUCCGAGUGUAGAGGUGAAAUUCGUAGAUAUUCGGAAGAACACCAGUGGCGAAGGCGACUAACUGGACACGUAUUGACGCUGAGGUACGAAAGCGUGGGGAGCAAACAGG